AUUGAACGCUGGCGGCAGGCCUAACACAUGCAAGUCGAACGAGUUGCGGACGGGUGAGUACUGUCUGGGAAACUGCCCGCUGGAGGGGGAUAACUACUGGAAACGGUAGCUAAUACCGCAUACCAUCGGAUGUGCCCAGAUGGGAUUAGCUAGUAGGUGGGGUAAAGGCUCACCUAGGCGACGAUCCCUAGCUGGUCUGAGAGGAUGACCAGCCAAACUGGAAAUGAGACACGGUCCAGACUCCUAAGGGAGGCAGCAGUGGGGAAUAUUGCACAAUGGGCGCAAGCCUGAUGCAGCCAUGCCGCGUGUAUGAAGAAGGCCUUCGGGUUGUAAAGUAAUUUCAGCGAGGAGGCGUUACUCGCAGAAGAAGCACCGGCUAACGCCGUGCCAGCAGCCGCGGUAAUUC
rnacentral:rRNA from 1 species